rnacentral:rRNA from 1 species
ACGCACGCUGGCGGCGUGCUUCACCCCUGCAAGUCGAACGGAAAGGCCCUGCUUUUGUGGGGUGCUCGAGUGGCGAACGGGUGAGUAACACGUGAGUAACCUGCCCUUGACUUUGGGAUAACUUCAGGAAACUGGGGCUAAUACCGGAUAGGAGCUCCUGCUGCAUGGUGGGGGUUGGAAAGUUUCGGCGGUUGGGGGUGGACUCGCGGCUUAUCAGCUUGUUGGUGGGGUAGUGGCUUACCAAGGCUUUGACGGGUAGCCGGCCUGAGAGGGUGACCGGCCACAUUGGGACUGAGAUACGGCCCAGACUCCUACGGGAGGCAGCAGUGGGGAAUAUUGCACAAUGGGCGGAAGCCUGAUGCAGCAACGCCGCGUGCGGGAUGACGGCCUUCGGGUUGUAAACCGCUUUCGCCUGUGACGAAGCGUGAGUGACGGUAAUGGGUAAAGAAGCACCGGCUAACUACGUG